ensembl:lncRNA
CCAACGUCAGACGAUUCCCAGCUCCAAUGUUAGCUGAGAUCAGAUGAUUCCCAGCUCCGACGUCCCCAACGUUGGACGUUUCCCAGCUCCGGUGUUGCUCCAGGUUGGAUGUUUCCCAGCUCCGGUGUCGCCAACGUCAGACGAUUCCCAGCUCCAAUGUUAUCUGAGGUCAGAUGAUUCCCAGCUCCGAUGUCCCCAAAGUUGGACGAUUCCCGGCUCUUGGUGUCCCCCCAGGUUGGAUGUUUCCCAGCUCCGAUGUCCCCAACAUCGGAGGUUUCCCAGCUCCAAUGUCACCCCAGGUCCGAUGUCUGCUGGCUCCAGUGUCCCCAACAUCAGACGCUUCCCGGCUCCGAUGUCCCCAACAUCAGACGUUUCCCGGCUCCGGGGGACCCUCAAGGUCAGACGUUCCCCGAUUUCAGCGUCCCCCCAGGUCGGACGUUGCCCAGCUCCGAUGUUCCUCGUGUCGGAUGUUUCCUGACUCCAAUGGCCCCAACGUCGGACACUUCCCAUCUCCGAUGUCCCCAACGUUGGGCUUUUCCUGGCUCCGACGUCCCUCCGGGUCAAGCCGUUGGCUGGCGCUGCCGGUUUCGGUGUUCGUUGACUCUGGUGGACCUCCAGGUCGGACAUCCGUUGGCUCCGGCAUCCGCUUGGGUGUCGGCCGGCUCCGGCGUCCCCCAACUCGGACAUUUCCCGGCUCCGACGUCUCCCACGUUGGACGCUCGCCGGCGCCGCCGGUUUUGGUGUCGGCCGGAUUCAAUAUCGGCCGGUUUUGGUGUCCACCAGCUCCGACACCUGCGGGUCGGACACUGCCUGUCCCCGUCACCCCGUUUUCCGUCCCCGUCGCCCCGUUUUCCGUCUCCGCCGCCCGCCGGCUUCAACGUCCCCCCAGGUGAGACGUUUCCCAGUGCCAAAACCCGCCGGUUUUGGUGUUUGCCAGCUCCAACAUCUGCCGGUUUUGGUGUCCGCCAGCUCCAACAUCUGCUGGUUUUGGUGUCCACCAGCUCCAACACCCGCAGGUUGGACAUCUCCCAAUCUCCGCCACCAGCCGGCUUCAACGUCCUCCAGAUCAGACACUUCCCGGUGCCGAAAACUGCCGGUUUUGGUGUCUGCCAGCUCCAACGUCUGCCAGUUUUGGUGUCCGCCAGCUCCAACAUCUGGUUUUGGUGUCCGCCAGCUCCAACAUCUCCUGGUUUUGGUGUCCACCAGCUCCAACAUCUCCUGGUUUUGGUGUCCACCAGCUCCAACAUCUGGUUUUGGUGUCCGCCAGCUCCAACAUCUCCUGAUUUUGGUGUCUGCCAGCUCCAACACCCGCAGGUCGGACAUUUCCCACCUCCGCUGCCCGUCGCCUUCAACGUCCCUCGGCUCGGACGCUUCCCGCUGCCAAAACCGGCCGUUUCGGGUGUUUGCCGGCUCCGGCGUCCGCUGAUCCCAACACCCGCGGGCCGGACGUCGCCCGUCUCCGCCGGCUUUCGACGUCUCCCGGCUGCCGCUCGCCGAAAACGCCGGGUUUGGGGGGGGGCGGAAACGCCGACCGGCUCCACCGCCCUCGGCGUCCGCCGGCGCCGGGGGUUUUUUUUUGGAUUUUAUUGUUAUUUAUUAAUUCCAGAGGGGAAAAAAGGGGGGAAAACAGGCGCGAGGAGGCGGCAGCCGGCGGCGGCGGCGGCAGCGGGGGGUCACGU